rnacentral:lncRNA from 1 species
CCAUCUGAUGUAUUGUUUAUGAUUUCUCUCACUAUCGUUCGCUUCGGCUUUUUCAGUAUCUUGUUGUUGCUGCUGCUUUAUUUCUUCUUUCCUAGAACGGAGUAUUUAUCGAAAAUAACCUUUUUACUGAAUUAUACUAUGUUAUAAUUAUUAUUAUUGUUGUUGUACCGAGUCAGACAAGAGGGGUUGCUCUGAUGGUAAGCAACUCCACUUCCAACCGAGAGGUUGUGAGUUUAAGUCUCCCCAGGUGGGAAGUUGUUGUAGGGAAGGAUGUCGGAGUCUAUUUGGAAACAGACUCUCUACCCAAGGUAGGUGUAAGGUCUGCGUACAUACUAUCCUAUCCAGACCUCACUAAGUGAGAUUAUAUUGGGUUGUUGUUGCACCGAGUCAUUUUUUUUAAUAAUCAUGGAUUCGAAUAAGCUUCUGCGUAGCUUCACUUGGUUCCUUACUUCGACAGGGUACAAAUAUCUAAAUUUAAUAUUUUUAGAUUUUAGAGCUACUUGUUAUUUUUCUGUGUUUCUGGAGUAAUAAGCUAGUCUUGAUUCUUUUUGGUUUUGCCUUUGGAGUUAGGGUCAAUAGCUUCUCUGUUCAUUAUUUGUAGAAUUUAUUGGAAUGUUGUUGUUGUAAUCAAAGGAUAGUUGUGUUUUUCACUGGAUUUAGUAAUGGCUAAGAAGGAAAGUUGGAGUCUUUGAAAACUCAAACCAGUUUUCUGAAUUUGACAAAAACAGAAAACAAAAAGUGAUCUUUCUUUUUUCUUGGAAAUAUAUGUGGGUUUUGGAUAUCAAGUCAUUGUUGAGGAUUUCCAAAUUUGAGAAAACCCCAGAAAAAGCUUUCUUUUUUUCCCUCAGUUUUCUUGGUAACCAAACAAGGCAGUACUAAUUAUGUUCCCUAGAAUUUAAUUAUAGCAUUGCUGUCAAUAUAUGGUGGAAAGUAGUGCAACACUUGCACUAAAACUGAUCAGUUACCAUAAAAUACUGCAGCAAGGGAA